rnacentral:rRNA from 1 species
AAGGGCACCACAAGAACGCGUGGAGCAUGUGGCUUAAUUUGACUCAACCCGGGAAAUCUUACCAGGUCCAGACAUAUUGAGGAUUGACAGGCGAUAGUAUAUAAAAUAUAUUUUUAUAUGCAUAAAAAUGAUAGUCCUUUCAUGAUUAUAUGAUAGGUGGUGCAUGGCCGUUCUUAGUUCGUGGAGUGAUUUGUCUGCUUAAUUGCGUUUCAGUAAAUAAAAUAUAUAAUAUAUUAUAAUAUUUAGUUCUGCCAUUUAUUUAUGGAUUUAAAGUGAACAUAUUAUAUAUAUUAUUAUAUAAUAAAUGAAUGCAACGAACGUGACCGUAACCUUUUAUUGCUAUUGAAAAUUAUAAUUAUAGCAUAAAAUUAAAGGAACCGCUGUCAUUACUAAAUAUGUGUUAAAAUAGAGUAAGAUUAUGGCAAUAACAGGUCUGUGAUGCCCUCAGAUGUUCUGGGCUGCACACGUGCUACAAUAAUUACAUUAAUAAGUAUAUAUACUUUAUAAUAUAUAAUAUUAUAUUACAACCUAUUUCGAAAGUAAAUCGGUAAUCAUUUAAAAAUCGUGAUUAAUUAAUAUAAAUAUAAUUAAUUUAAGGUGGGGAUAGUGUAUUGUUAAUUAUUACACUUGGCCUUAACUAGGAAUGCCUUGUACUCUUCUUUGGUUUAACAUACCAAGAGGAAUACGUCCCUGCCCUUUGUACACACCGCCCGUCGCUCUUACCGAUGAAUUAUAUUAUAAAUCUAAGGGAUUUAUUAUAAUUAAAAUAUAAAAAACUUAUAUACAUAAUGGAUUUAAAGGAAAGAGAAGUCGAACAAGGCA